UAGAGUUUGAUCAUGGCUCAGGAUGAACGCCAGCGGCAGGCUUAACACAUGCAAGUCGAGGGGCAUCGGGAGGAAAGCUUGCUUUCCUUGCCGGCGACCGGCGCACGGGUGAGUAACACGUAUGCAACCUGCCCUCUUCAGGGGGACAACCUUCCGAAAGGGAGGCUAAUCCCGCGUAUAUCGGUUUCGGGCAUCCGAGAUCGAGGAAAGAUUCAUCGGAAGAGGAUGGGCAUGCGGCGCAUUAGCUUGACGGCGGGGUAACGGCCCACCGUGGCGACGAUGCGUAGGGGUUCUGAGAGGAAGGUCCCCCACACUGGUACUGAGACACGGACCAGACUCCUACGGGAGGCAGCAGUGAGGAAUAUUGGUCAAUGGGAGAGAUCCUGAACCAGCCAAGCCGCGUGAGGGAAGACGGCCCUAUGGGUUGUAAACCUCUUUUGUCGGAGAACAAAACCCGGGACGUGUCCCGGACUGCGUGUAUCCGAAGAAAAAGCAUCGGCUAACUCCGUGCCAGCAGCCGCGGUAAUACGGAGGAUGCGAGCGUUAUCCGGAUUUAUUGGGUUUAAAGGGUGCGUAGGCGGUCCGUUAAGUCAGCGGUAAAAUUGCGGGGCUCAACCCCGUCGAGCCGUUGAAACUGGCAGACUUGAGUUGGCGAGAAGUACGCGGAAUGCGCGGUGUAGCGGUGAAAUGCAUAGAUAUCGCGCAGAACUCCGAUUGCGAAGGCAGCGUACCGGCGCCACACUGACGCUGAGGCACGAAAGCGUGGGGAUCGAACAGGAUUAGAUACCCUGGUAG
rnacentral:rRNA from 1 species